ACAGUGGAGAGUUUGAUCCUGGCUCAGGAUGAACGCUAGCGAUAGGCUUAACACAUGCAAGUCGAGGGGCAGCAUGAUCUUAGCUUGCUAAGGUUGAUGGCGACCGGCGCACGGGUGCGUAACGCGUAUGCAACUUGCCUUACAGAGGGGGAUAACCCGUUGAAAGACGGACUAAAACCGCAUACACUUGUAUUAUUGCAUGAUAUUACAAGGAAAUAUUUAUAGCUGUAAGAUAGGCAUGCGUCCCAUUAGCUGGUUGGUGAGGUAACGGCUCACCAAGGC
rnacentral:rRNA from 1 species